UCGAUGGCUGACUGUUUUCCUUUCUUCAUGUCACUUAGAUUUAUAUUUAAGUGUUUAAGUGAUUUGUGUAAAAAAAAUUAAUUUGAAUCAUGCAUGGACAGGGUGUCUAGCGACCGGGAAAACCGGGAAAACCGGGAAUUGUCAGGGAAUUUUGAGUGUCAGGGAAAUGUCAGGGAAAAGUCAGGGAAUUUUUAAAAAACACCUGGAAUUUUUUUUUGCUGUAGCUUUAAAAUAGUUUAGGUAUCUCACGGAAGAUUAGUUUUAAACAUUUCUGCUGUCACGGUAAUUUACUUAUAAUUAUUGACAUUUCGGAGAAACUACACUUUUCAAAGUAGCUUUGUUUUACGUUGGAUGUUACCGUCUGCAAAACAGUUGUUUUCUUUUUCGAUAACAUCGAGGUUAGACUUCUAAGAUAGAUCGCAAUAUAGUUUAUAUCGAUUUAUCGACUGCGUGUUAUACCUUCUACAUCUCGGCAGUGUUGCCAGACGUACGAGAAUUCUCGCAUUUGUACGAGCAUUUAGAACCUGUGUACGUUGUACGAGGUAAAGUUGGAUCUCGUACGCUUUUGUACGAGAAUUUUGAAGAUCACUUUCACUGUUGGUUUUUUACCCGGGUUCUAGUAAGAUAUAUUAAUUUAAUUGUAUCGUUUUGUCAAAACAAGUAUAUAACAUUUCUUUUGUAACAAUACCAUUAAGUGAAGUUCCUGCCCGACAGCGUUGACUUUUUUUUUGGCUGGAAACAGGCGAUGCUGACUAAAAAAUUGUGUUUGUUUUUUAUUAGCAGGUGCCAACCAUUUGUCUAGCACAGGAAAUGAUGACCCAGAGUCAGAAUAAUGUUAAAUGCACAACCCCUAACUCACAAUUUAGAGUAUUUUUGUAUUUUAAAUUAACUAAAAUAAAAAAAACUGGAUAUUUUUUACGAAAAAAAUAAUGCAAAAAGAGUGAAUGGCAGGAAUAAUUGUAUUGUUGUGAAAAUUGUUGUGAAAAUUGUUUUACUUAUGUAAUCAUAGGAUUGUGAAAAUUGUUUAGUUUAGAUUUGUUAGGCUUGUAGCUCAAAUGUCAAGUAUAUAAAAAUAUUGUAGAAACACAUUUAAACUUUUGCUUUUACAGUACUAUUGUGUUUGCUUUUACAGUACCAUUGUGUACGAGAUUUUUUGUGUCUCAUACGAGAAUUUUCGUUCCUUGGUACGAGACAUUGACAUUUACAAUCUGGCAACACUGCAUCUCGGUUUGUUUUCGGUUGUUUUGGUCGUUUCCUGGCUAGCCAAGCCACGCCGUCACAAUUUUUAGCUUGCAUUUAUUGUACUUGUUUCUUUCGUUUUAUUUAUUGUGGUUAUUUAUUUUGGUGAAUUGAGGUUACGUACUUAUAGUCAUGCAUUGAUAAUUAUCUUGUUACUUUCUAUCUAGGCGGCAACUACAACCCAGUGCGUUAAAAUGCUACGGUUUUUCUCCAUGCUUUCGGUCUUAAAAAUGAUUUCGUAAAUUUUUUUUGUUAUUGUUUAUAUCUCUUUUUAUUCGUGUUAUAAACCUGGAUCGUUACGGAGGCCUAAUGGUAGUUGAUUAUACUUAGUUUCUCGACGAUCUGCUUUGUUUAUUUAACAGGUAAGUGAGCAUUAUCUGUAUUUCUGUAUGUGUGUGAUUUCACAGAACCUUUUCAAUUAAUUAGGUUAUGAAGUAAAUACCAGUAGUUAUAAUAAUCACGUCAGUAUGACGUCGUUUUAAUCUUUUUAGGUUAUGAAUGCAAUUAUUUUUUUGUUUGUAAACAGUUAUUUUGCAUGAUGGCCUACUGGAUUAUGUUUAACUGGAGAUCAAAUUAUUUUUAAACCGUGAGAAUGGGUGGGUUUUUCCAAAAGUGAACAUUUUUUUAUAACUUACCUAUUGUUCUUAGAACAACACAUAACCUAACAUACUUAAAUGAUAUUGCAAAGUACCAUCAGGUAAAAAAUGAAACCUUAUUUAAAUUAACUGUAGGCUAUUUUGGACUGUAAUUAUCAACAAAGAACUUUUUUUUUGCUGUGAAGGUACAAACCUUUUUUAAAUUAUAGCUGUGAUUAAGUUUGUGAUGCAGGCUGCCUGUGAAUAUACACUUGAUACAGGAAUAAUAUAUAACUUUUAAUAAGGUUAUGUUAAUUCAGCUGUUACACUCAUGAAGUAGGCACUAACCAGUAAGGAUGUAGUAUGUUGAUAAGAUUGCAGAUAUUUGAUAGGGUUUUGGUUACUCUGUAUCAACUCAAAAUGUACUUUCUGUAUGUAAGCUGUAAUUUUUAGAAAAAGUAUUCAUUUUUAACAUCUGUGUUUGUUCCCAGCUCAAGGUGUCAUGCCGCCUUCAAAAUUUAGAAAAACGGUAUUCAGAGCUGAAUGGAGCCAGGACCCAAUGUAUGCGUGGGUGAAGGGUAUUGAAAGAAAUCCCUAUUCUGCAUGGUGUGAUGUGUGCAAGCAAAAGUUUGAGCUUAGCAACAUGGGGAAACAAGCUCUCACAAGUCAUGCGUCUGGGGCUAAGCAUAGAAAAAGAUUACAGGCAGCCAGUAAAUCGGUCCCAAUUACAAUUUUUUGCAAGACAGGGCUAUCAAAAACAACUUCGCAAGUAAAGUCAACAGAUGUACCUGAAGUAUCAUCAGAAUCUAUUCAGAAUUCAUCAGUUUCUGAGGGUUCAAAGUUAUCACCAUCACCUAAUGUACCGAAGUUGUUAGAAAAUGCAGUUGCUGGCUCAGCGUGCUCAUGUAUUUGCACAUGCAUAUCUGUAGAAAAGAAAUCAAAGUUAUUGAAAACAUAUUUGUUGAAUGAUGAUGUGACAAGAGCAGAGGUCAUGUGGUGUUUGUUUUGUGUAACAUCACAUAACUCGUUACGGAAUGCUGAAAGUAGUGUUUCAAUCCAGCGCAAGAUGUACCCUGACAGCAAUAUUGCAGCAAAAAUGAAAUUGAGCAAAGCAAAAGUAUCUUACACUAUUGUUCAUGGCUUGGCGCCACAACUCGAGCGAGAUCUAAAAGCUGCUAUAUCAAAUUGUUCACAUAUUGUCAUCGGUUUUGAUGAAAGUUUAAAUAAGGUUGUGCAAAAACAGCAGAUGGAUUUAAUGGUGCGGUAUUGGGACGAUGUCAAGAAUGUGACUUGUACUCGCUACUUAACCUCUGUUUUCUUGGGUCACUCAACUGCAGCAGAUUUACUUUAUGCAUUCAAAAGUGCGUUAACUUCUGCUCUUUUACACAAGAUACUUCAAGUGUCUAUGGAUGGUCCGAAUGUGAACUUACGCUUUUUAAAAGAUCUAAGAGAAGAUUUAAAAGAAGGCCGUCCACAUGAAGGUGUAAUUUUGGAUAUUGGCACUUGUGGUCUGCAUUCAUUGCACUGUGCUUUCAAGACAGCAAUGAAAGGAACAGAAUGGGAAAUUAUUCCAUUUUUACGUGCAAUUCACAAUCUUUUUUACAAUAUCCCUAGUCGUCGUGCAGAUUUUAUCCGCAUAACAGGAUCAGAUUUGUUUCCUUUGAAAUUUUGUGCAGUUCGUUGGUUAGAUAAUGUGUGUGUAGCAAACAGAGCCUUGAAAUUACUGCCCUAUUUGCUCAAAUACAUUCAGUCACUUUGUUCAAAGUCUGAACCAAAGUGUGCAAGCUUUAUGGUAGUUAAGAAUGCUCUUCGUGAUAAAUUGCUUGGUCCUAAACUUGCAUUUUUUUCAUCUGUGGCAUCUGAAAUUGAACCUUUUCUGAAAGAAUUUCAGACCGAUAAACCAAUGGCUCCUUUUCUUUAUUCAGAUUUUUGUGCUGUUGUUAAAAAUCUUAUGAUAAGGUUUGUCAAACCUGAAGUAAUUGAAUCAAAACCCUUGUCCGCCAUUGAUUUAUCAGGAACAAAUCUUAUGUCUCACAAAAAUGUUGACCUGGGUUUUGGAACAAAAGCAGAAUUGCGUUCUGAAAAAAACUUAACACAGAAAGACAUUGAGUUAUUCAAGCAUGAAUGUUCUAAGUGCCUACAAGAACUUGUGAAGAAGAUUUUGAAUCGCUCUCCACUUACUCUCAGUUUGACUAGGAGCAUUUCAUUCAUUGACCCUUCAGUAGUUUGUAUUCCAAAUUUGGCAAAUAAGAGACUGGCAGCUGCACUAGAACAUUUUGUAUGCAAUAACUGGAUUUCUGGAGUGCAAGCUGAUAAAAUUUGUAGAGAAUUCAAGCAAGUGUGUGCUGUAAAGUUAGUGCAAGAAAAUGUGAAGAUAUACACACGCAGUAAAUUUCGCCUUGAUCAGUUUUGGUUUGAUCAGUUGAAAAUUUGUUCAUUUGAGGAAACAAAAAAUUUGGCAUCUUUCCUGAAGAUGAUUUUCAUCUUUUCACAUGGCAAUGCUGCUCUGGAAAGAGGAUUUUCUGUGAACAAGGAAUGUCUGGUGGAAAAUCAACAAGAAAUAUCUCUCGUAGCUCAAAGGAGAAUUCAUGAUAGUGUCUCUGCAGCUGGGGGAAUUGAUGAUUUCCCUGUAACAAAGCAGCUUAUACAUGCAGCUCGUAAUGCACACUCCAACUUUAAAGACUAUUUGCAAAAGCAGAAGGAGCUUUCUCAAGAAAAAGCAGAAACUAACAUCUUGAAACGUAAAAUUGCUGCUGAACUUGCAGAGGUUCAGGCAAGAAAAAAGAAAAUUUUAGAAGAUGCCCAAAAUGAAAGUGCAAUUCUUGAUUCUCGAAUAGAAGCUCUUAAAACGUAGUGCAGUGAUAAUAGACCCCAUUUUGUAGUGUUUAGGCCUACUAAAUUCAAUCAUUAUUUUCACAAAAAGACCUAAGUUUUUAAUAUUUAUGCUAUAAUUUUAUAUUUCUUUAAGAUCCAUGUCAUAUAUGUUUAUAUUCAUUUAUAUGUACGUACAGCUACAAUUUACUAUAUAGAAGUUUUUUUUAAGAUUAAUGAUGCAAUUUUGUGAAUUUGAAGACUGUGUUUGGAGACUGGAAACUGUUUUUGAGACAGGAUUUGAAGGUUAAUUGUGUAUCAUAUUCUUAUAAGCAGAACACAUCUUGACAUUUGGAUAGUUUUAUUGUGACUGAAUGUAGCACUUCAAUAAAGAGGAGGACAUCUUCACGCCUGCGACGGCCAUCGCACGGUUUCUGGAGGCGCAGGACUUGGCACGGACGGGGGGCGAGGUGUUCGUGCUGG